rnacentral:rRNA from 1 species
UGGGGAAUUUUGGACAAUGGGCGCAAGCCUGAUCCAGCAAUGCCGCGUGCAGGAUGAAGGCCUUCGGGUUGUAAACUGCUUUUAUACGGGAAGAACCCCCCGACGUGUCGGGGACUGACGGUACCGUACGAAUAAGCAUCGGCUAACUACGUGCCAGCAGCCGCGGUAAUACGUAGGGUGCGAGCGUUAAUCGGAAUUACUGGGCGUAAAGCGUGCGCAGGCGGUUAUAUAAGACAGAUGUGAAAUCCCCGGGCUCAACCUGGGACCUGCAUUUGUGACUGUAUAGCUAGAGUACGGUAGAGGGGGAUGGAAUUCCGCGUGUAGCAGUGAAAUGCGUAGAUAUGCGGAGGAACACCGAUGGCGAAGGCAAUCCCCUGGACCUGUACUGACGCUCAUGCACGAAAGCGUGGGGAGCAAACAGG